UACGUAGGUGACAAGCGUUAUCCGGAAUUACUGGGCGUAAAGCGCACGCAGGCGGCGCGGUAAGUCUGAUGUGAAAUCUCCCGGCUUAACUGGGAGGGGUCAUUGGAAACUGCCGAGCUUGAGGCGAUGAGAGGGGUGUAGAAUUCCCGGUGUAGUGGUGGAAUGCGUAGAUAUCGGGAGGAAUACCAGUGGCGAAGGCGGAUCUCUGGGCCUUGCCUGACGCUGAGGCGCGAAAGCUAGGGGAGCGGAACAGG
rnacentral:rRNA from 1 species